rnacentral:rRNA from 1 species
AUACGUAGGGGGCAAGCGUUGUCCGGAAUCAUUGGGCGUAAAGCGCGUGUAGGCGGCCAUCCAAGUCUGAUGUGAAAGCUCGGGGCUCAACCCCGAGUCUGCAUUGGAAACUGGCUGGCUUGAGUCCGGAAGAGGAGACUGGGAUUCCUGGUGUAGCGGUGAAAUGCGCAGAUAUCAGGAAGAACACCGGUGGCGAAGGCGGGUCUCUGGGACGGUACUGACGCUGAGACGCGAAAGCGUGGGGAGC